rnacentral:rRNA from 1 species
GUGAGUAACACGUGGGUAACCUGCCCAUCAGAAGGGGAUAACACUUGGAAACAGGUGCUAAUACCGUAUAACAAUCGAAACCGCAUGGUUUUGAUUUGAAAGGCGCUUUCGGGUGUCGCUGAUGGAUGGACCCGCGGUGCAUUAGCUAGUUGGUGAGGUAACGGCUCACCAAGGCCACGAUGCAUAGCCGACCUGAGAGGGUGAUCGGCCACAUUGGGACUGAGACACGGCCCAAACUCCUACGGGAGGCAGCAGUAGGGAAUCUUCGGCAAUGGACGAAAGUCUGACCGAGCAACGCCGCGUGAGUGAAGAAGGUUUUCGGAUCGUAAAACUCUGUUGUUAGAGAAGAACAAGGAUGAGAGUAACUGUUCAUCCCUUGACGGUAUCUAACCAGAAAGCCACGGCUAACUACGUGCCAGCAGCCGCGGUAAUACGUAGGUGG